CCCUGACGACUCUGGGCGAAGAACGUCCUGACCACAACUUUCAACCAGAUACAAGAAAGAACUCAAAAUGAAUAGAGACGGCAUUUUGUUCUGUCACUCAGAUGGUGUUAAGUGUUGUCAUCAUAGCUCACUGCAGCCUUGAGCUCCUGAACUCCUGCCAAGUACACCACCAUGCCACGUUCCUCCUUCACAUGCCCCUACUGUCUCCUGCCACCUUGUGAAGAAGGUGCCUACUUCCCCUUCUGCCAUGAUUGUAAGUUUCCUGAGGCCUCCCC